rnacentral:tRNA from 1 species
GGCAACAUGACCGAGUGGUUAAGGUGUCAGAUUUGAAAUCUGAUCCUCUUUGAGGGCGCAGGUUCAAAUCCUGCUGUUGUCG